GACCUAAACCGAAGCCGGGUCUAAACCGAGCACGAACAGAGAGAGCCUCGCCCGCCGUCUGCACCGGCCUUGAAAGAGCUGGAGAAGCGAGCCAGCACCCAGCAGAGCAAGAAAGCCACAAGGAGAUACUGAGGACGCGAGGCCAAGCUCCCCCGACGGCAUUAGAGUAGGAGGGAGGAGGGGAAGCAGAGAGGGACGGCCCUUCUCGUCCUCGCACCCUGUGAAACGCGGCCCGCGACCGACAGCAGCUCGCUCGCUGUCAUCUCUCGAGAUCUCAAGCAGUUCGUUGGUUGGCCAUUUUCUUUUUCUUUUUUUGAUAUACUUGCUAGCUUGGAAGUUGGUAAAAGAUGAACUCAACACGCCGAGCUUCAAAAGCGGCAAAGUCAACAAUCAAUUACCACAGGUUUUCAUUAGAUGAGCACCACUUAUUUGAGCCAGAUGCUUUGAUUACCAAGGAGCGAGAUGCCAAUCAUCAAUCAAGGCAAAGUUCUCAAUCUUGCAGAACAUAUGCAUACAGAAGAUUGACCACUCCCCAGUUUGUAUCUGCAUUGUCUGGAAUCUGGAAUCUUGUUGGCCAGCCUGAAUCAUCUGGCACAGCUCAAAGAUCUAGUAUUCAUGGGAUUUCGAGUAGGGAAGACCCUGUGUGCUUUAGCAGGGACCAACAAGGAAAUAUACUGACACCUUGCUGUGUGGAAAACUCUAGUGGUCUGAGAUCUCAAUACUGUUUCUCUACACCAAAAGAAAUUUAUGAGGAUCUUAUUUACGUAAAGAAGAAGAUGUUAACGCUGACACCAUUCAAUAACAUUGUUGGUGCAUCAUCCACAUGGAUGCAUAUGCAUUCCACAAAUAAGGUUGAAGGUGCGCAUUAUUUGCAAUUUGGAACUAUAUACUCUGUGCAAGCUGAAAAGAUGGAAAAAAUCGAGACUUCUCAGAAUAGCAAAAGAAGCAUGUGUGAGGAAACUUGUGCUAGUUCCAACAAUAUGGAUAUUAGGGACAAUAGCUAUUCAAAUCAAACAAGACACAUGCCUAACGAGCUAUUUACUAUCUCAAAUGAAGAAGCUAGCAGUACACAUGAUUGUGAAAGUUCUCGGCACAAUACUGAAUGCAAUCUAGAAAAAAAUCAAGAAGAUUCUAAUUUUUUAGCUUGCCCAGUACAUGAAAUGGAAAUUGCCAAAGAGGUGAGGAUAAUGCCAGGGAGUCAGGUUUUCAGUAAGGCGUGCACAGAUGCUCAGCUUGACAAAUCAAAGCACAUGUCUUGUCUGGUGGGUGAUGCUGUUGUUCUUAAUUCAGCAAAUGCAGAUGAAAGUGCUUGUAGGGAGGACGUGUGUCUGCAGCUUUCUCUAGACAAGUGUUCACAAGAGCUCCAACCAACUUUUCAGCAUCGAUUUGAUGGUGCUGUUACCAUAAACAGGCAUGCUGUGGCAGGAGCAUUAGCUGGGACAGCAGUCAGUGUUUCUUUGCAUCCAAUUGAUACUGUGAAAACGAUAAUUCAGGCUAACAGUUAUGGACAGAGUUCAGUCUACCAUACACUAAGGCGCACCCUUAUUGAGAGAGUAAAGGUGUUCUGGGGUUAUAUGGAGGACUUGCUAGCAAACUUGCUUGUUCUGCACCAAUUUCUGCAAUUUAUACCUUAACUUAUGAAACAGUGAAGGGGGCUCUUCUGCCUGUUUUUCCAAAGGAAUAUCAUUCAAUUGCGCAUUGUGCUGCUGGUGGCUGCUCUAGUAUUGCAACAUCCUUUGUUUUUACACCCAGUGAAUGCAUAAAACAACAAAUGCAAGUGGGUUCCCAUUAUCAGAACUGCUGGAAUGCUUUAGUAGGAUGCCUCAAAAAGGGUGGCAUUGCUUCAUUAUAUACUGGAUGGGGUGCUGUCCUUUGCAGAAAUAUCCCACAUUCCAUAGUGAAGUUCUAUGCUUAUGAGAGUCUGAAGCAGUCUCUGUUGAAAUCAGCACCUGAUAGGGCCAAACUCAAUUCUGGCCAAACGGUUAGUUUUUUAGACUUACCUUAUUAAGGUAUCAUUCUUAUACCCACAUAUUGACCUGUGUAAUAACUAAUAAGAAAUAUCAAAUGCGGAAUUAUAAGUUUAAAAAAAACACAAAUAUUUUGUUUCUGAAUAACUGAUACUAUUCCCAUGCACCUGAAGCAUAAAAUCAAACAGAGUUAAGCACAAAUGAAGGUCAUUCUUGCAUUGGAACUAGCGCAAUCAAGUGACUGACAUAAUGCCCAAGUAUGGGCUUGAAUAGCUGCAUUGGAUUCAUACUUCAGCUGACACGGGUCACCUAUUAUAGUUGCGGGAAGGAGCACCAUGCCACCAUCCCUUCUUUUUUCUUCACGCUGCUGACCUUAUCUACAUACUUCCAGGUGCAGCAUUGUGAUUUUUCAUACACAUCUAGAAUCCAUAUCAGCCAAUGCAGCUACUCAAAGCCCAUACCUUACAUCAGUCACUUGAUUGUGCAAGUUCUAAGGCAAGGAUGAUCCUCACUUGUUGACUUCUGUGUUUUUAAUUCUAUUUGGUUUAAUACUUCAAGUGGAUGAGAUUAGCAUAUUCAUAAACAAACGUCCAUGUGCUUAGGCUUUUAACUUUGCAUUUAUUAUUUCUUACACAGACCUCUAGGUGGGACAUAUCCCACCUAAUACCCUCCUAUAAACAUGUGUAAGAAGUAAAAAAUGUGAAUUUAAAAGUUUUUUUCUUGAAUACGCAGGAGAGCUGCGUAUCAUUAUAUUAAUAGGAGAGAAAAAGGCAUCAAACCCAAAAACAAACAUACAAACACACACACGCACCCAAAGAUACCCUCAGCGCACAACAUAAACAAGACACCAGCUUACACAUCCUAAGCAAAACAGAUGUUUGUGUUCUGAACAAUUGAUGCUAAUCUCAUCUCAUGUAUCUGAAGCAUAAAACCAAAUAGUGUCACCCUGGAAGAAGACAGCAAGUGAAGGCUAUCCUUGUGUUGGAACUUGCACAGUGAAGUGAUUGACACAAUAAUGCCAAGCUAUGGGCUUGAGUCGUUGCAUCCUGGAUUAGCUCAUACGAAUUAUGGAUGUGCACAAAGCUUUUAUGUGGAGGUUUUGCUGGGUCAACUGCUGCUCUCUGUACAACACCGUUUGAUGUUAUCAAGACACGAGUGCAAUUACAGGCACUCAGCCCUGUUUGCAAGUAUGAUGGGGUGGUUCAUGCACUAAAAGAAAUUUUUCGGCAUGAAGGCUUGUGUGGUCUUUACAGGGGUUUGACUCCAAGGCUGGCUAUGUAUAUGUCUCAAGGUGCUAUAUUCUUUACGUCCUAUGAGUUUCUCAGUACAUUAAUGUUUCCUGAACCCGAACAAGAGGUUCAUGCGAGGAGCGUUUGAUCGUGAAAUGAGAAGAUGGCACAGCAAAAUACAGAACUCGGGGAUAGUCUGACAUGUGAUGUGAGGGGUUUGAAUCCAAUUUUGGGUGUUGUUUACAAAGUUGUCUGUUAGGAAUAGGAUAGCAUUCAUACAUAUUUUUCGGUAAUCUCAGGUCUAGCUAGGCGAUUGAAAAUUUUGUAGUAGAACCUGAUUUUGUAUUUUAGUCUCGUAUAUAUAGAGAAACAAUGGCCAGUUUUGGUAUCCUAUUGUUUUGUAUCCACAUGUAUCUGCAUACAUGGCCAAGUGAAUCUGGAAUUAAACAGCAUGGGACGCAAGACUUUCUAUUAAAAAAAAGAUCAGUUGCAGAGCGACUUCAA